rnacentral:rRNA from 1 species
AACGAGAAAGGGGAGCAAUCCCUGAGUAAAGUGGCGACCGGGUGAGUAACACGUGACUAACCUGCCUUCNAGUGGGGGAUAACCUCGGGAAACCGGGGCUAAUACCGCAUAAUGCCUUCGGGUUAAAGGAGCAAUUCGCUUGAAGAGGGGGUCGCGGCUGAUUAGCUAGUUGGCGGGGUAACGGCCCACCAAGGCGAUGAUCGGUAGCCGGCCUGAGAGGGCGCACGGCCACACUGGAACUGAAACACGGUCCAGACUCCUACGGGAGGCAGCAGUGGGGAAUUUUGCGCAAUGGGGGAAACCCUGAUGCAGCGACGCCGCGUGAGCGAUGAAGCCCUUCGGGGUGUAAAGCUCUUUCGACGGGAACGAUAAUGACGGUACCCGGAGAAGAAGCUGCGGCUAACUACGUGCCAGCAGCCGCGGUAAUACGUAGGCAGCGAGCGUUGUUCGGAAUUACUGGGCGUAAAGAGUGUGUAGGCGGUGCUCUAAGUCUGUUGUGAAAUCUCCCGGCUUAACUGGGAGGGUGCGGCGGAAACUGGAGUGCUCNAGGGUGGGAGAGGUAAGCGGAAUUCCUGGUGUAGCGGUGAAAUGCGUAGAUAUCGGGAGGAAUACCUAUGGCGAAAGCAGGCUUCUGGGCCAUCACUGACGCUGAUCUGCGAAAGCUAGGGGAGCAAACAGGAUUAGAUACCCUGGUAGUCCUAG